rnacentral:rRNA from 1 species
UCCAGACUCCUACGGGAGGCAGCAGUGGGGAAUAUUGCACAAUGGGGGAAACCCUGAUGCAGCGACGCCGCGUGAGUGAAGAAGUAAUUCGUUAUGUAAAGCUCUCUCAGCAGGGAAGAAAAUGACGGUACCUGAGUAAGAAGCCCCGGCUAACUACGUGCCAGCAGCCGCGGUAAUACGUAGGGGGCAAGCGUUAUCCGGAUUUACUGGGUGUAAAGGGAGCGUAGACGGUGCGUCAAGUCUGAAGUGAAAGCCCGGGGCUUAACCCCGGGACUGCUUUGGAAACUGGCGCGCUAGAGUGCUGGAGAGGUAAGUGGAAUUCCUAGUGUAGCGGUGAAAUGCGUAGAUAUUAGGAGGAACACCAGUGGCGAAGGCGGCUUACUGGACAGUAACUGACGUUGAGGCUCGAAAGCGUGGGGAGCAAACAGGAUUAGAUACCCUUGUA